CACCUCUCAGGGUUGCACCUGGAGAGUUUCCAGUACUCUACCAGUCUCCACAAUGAGAGGAAGAGCCAAGCAGAGGCACAGCCAUUCCAUUCCUAGCUUUGGGCAAUGGCUAGCGAGCGGAAGGCAAUCCGCUACAAGU